rnacentral:rRNA from 1 species
CAGCAGCCGCGGGAAUACGUAGGGUGCGAGCGUUAAUCGGAAUUACUGGGCGUAAAGCGUGCGCAGGCGGUUCGUUAAGACAGAUGUGAAAUCCCCGGGCUUAACCUGGGAACUGCAUUUGUGACUGACGGGCUAGAGUAUGGCAGAGGGGGGUAGAAUUCCACGUGUAGCAGUGAAAUGCGUAGAGAUGUGGAGGAAUACCGAUGGCGAAGGCAGCCCCCUGGGCCAAUACUGACGCUCAUGCACGAAAGCGUGGGGAGCAAACAGGAUUAGAUACCCCAGUAGUCCCUGUCUCUUAUAC